AGUCGAACGAUGAUGCCUCAGCUUGCGGGGCGGAUUAGUGGCGAACGGGUGAGUAAUACGUGAGUAACCUGCCCUGGACUCUGGGAUAAGCCUGGGAAACUGGGUCUAAUACUGGAUACGACCUUCCGCCGCAUGGUGGGGGGUGGAAAGGGUUUUACUGGUUGUGGAUGGGCUCACGGCCUAUCAGCUGGUUGGUGGGGUAAUGGCUCACCAAGGCGACGACGGGUAGCCGGCCUGAGAGGGUGACCGGCCACACUGGGACUGAGACACGGCCCAGACUCCUACGGGAGGCAGCAGUGGGGAAUAUUGCACAAUGGGCGCAAGCCUGAUGCAGCGACGCCGCGUGAGGGAUGACGGCCUUCGGGUUGUAAACCUCUUUCAGUAGGGAAGAAGCGCAAGUGACGGUACCUGCAGAAGAAGCGCCGGCUAACUACGUGCCAGCAGCCGCGGUAAUACGUAGGGCGCAAGCGUUGUCCGGAAUUAUUGGGCGUAAAGAGCUCGUAGGCGGUUUGUCGCGUCUGCUGUGAAAGCCCGGGGCUCAACCCCGGGUCUGCAGUGGGUACGGGCAGACUAGAGUGCAGUAGGGGAGACUGGAAUUCCUGGUGUAGCGGUGAAAUGCGCAGAUAUCAGGAGGAACACCGAUGGCGAAGGCAGGUCUCUGGGCUGUUACUGACGCUGAGGAGCGAAAGCAUGGGGAGCGAACAGGAUUAGAUACCCUGGUAGUCCAUGCCGUAAAC
rnacentral:rRNA from 1 species